rnacentral:lncRNA from 1 species
GAGAGGUAGGGGGAAUACAUUUUGUCAUAGUUUUAUUAUAAAACUUAGAGAAAAAUUAUUAAAUAUUACACUGGUCAUGCUCUAUAUUACAAGCAGCUCCCCUCUCAACCAAUAGUGUUCAGUAUCUCAGAUCCAAUGAAACUGUAAUAAAUUACACACUUUUCCUGUCUUUACAGGUGAAAAGACAAUAGAGUAUACAACAACUGUACAGGACAUAGAAAAUAACACGAACAACACAUAUAGAAAUAUGAAUGAUGCAAGGCUGAUGAAAAACACACGUAAAAUCAAAUAUUCCCCACUCCCAUGUCCUCCUACAGCCCAAUGUGACAUUUGAAAGUCUAUUUGAGAGCAUUAGUUCAACACACUUAACUAGAGAUAAUUCACACAGACAAUUCACAGGGACUGGAAACUAAUUGAGUGGUUUUAUAACACAGAGAGAGUACCAUCCCUGGUGGAAACUAGUUCAUAACCAAUAUAACAAACAAACAAAAACAUAAAAUGACCAUGCGAGUAUAGCAAGAAAGGGAGAAGGAAAAGUCAACAGUCCAUCUUGACCCUUUGUGAGCGUAGGUUGCAGGGAUGCUGUUCAGGCCUGGUGAAGGCAGGGGAGGAAGCUGUGGUAUUGGAAGGAAUGGUAGCCUCCCAUGAUAAUGACAGUGUUAGCCGUGAGUAGGCUGAGGAGGAGGAAAAACAACUCCCUGGUCACAGAGCCUCUGACCAGACCAGACAGCUCUCUCUGUAUGGGGCCAUCCCUCUCUGGGGAGCAGGGGGAGACUUAGGAUCUUUAUGAUUUACAGCAAACAACAUCGUACACUCUAGCCAUGGUCUUCCUGUUUCUCUCCCUGCUGGCUGGAAGUAGGUUGCCUUUUCUGUCUGUACAACUGGCUAUCCCAUUGCCUUCCACAUGGCCAAUAGUGCAAAAAUGGGAUUUACCAUCACGUAGCUGCGAUCUACAGUAUUUCAUAGCACUGACUGAUGCUAAAAAUGAAGGUGGGGGUCACGAGAGAGGGAGCGGGGGAGUGGAGGGAUGCUGACAUUUUCUCAAACAAACCAAACAGAGCUGGUCUGGAUGGUGAGAGCAGGGGCAGAGUAAACAGAGUGAAGUAUGCAGCAGCCCUCUUUAGAGGCCUUUGUUGGUCUGCUCUGCUCUGCUCCCCCC